CUCACUGAUCUUACUCCAAGAGGCAUGAGGA
rnacentral:piRNA from 1 species